rnacentral:rRNA from 1 species
AUUGAACGCUGGCGGCAGGCCUAACACAUGCAAGUCGGGCGAGCGGCGGACGGGUGAGUAAUGUAUGGGGACUGCCCGAUAGAGGGGGAUAACUACUGGAAACGGUGGCUAAUACCGCAUACUAUCGGAUAACCCAUAUGGGAUUAGCUAGUAGGUGGGGUAAAGGCUCACCAAGCCGACGAUCUCUAGCUGGUCUGAGAGGAUAACCAGCCACACGGGGACUGAGACCGGGCCCAGACUCCUACGGAGGCAGCAGUGGGGAAUAUGGCGCAAGGGCGGCAACCCGGACGCAGCCAUGCGGCGUGAAUGAAGAGGGCCUUCGGGUGGUAAAGUUCUUUCGGUAGCGAGGCGUUAACUACAGAAGAAGCACCGGCUAACUCCGUGCCAGCAGCCGCGGUAAUAC